GGAUAAACGCUGGCGGCGUGCCUAACACAUGCAAGUCGAACGUCCUCCCCCCUUUUGGGGGGGAGGCGAGUGGCGGACGGGUGAGUAGCACAUGGGUGACCUGCCUUUCAGUGAGAAUACCGGCGAGAAAUCGCCGACAAUGCCGCAUACGCUCAGCAGCUCGCACUGCUGAGCAAAGCGCCGCGAAGGGGCGCUGGAAGAGGGGCCCG
rnacentral:rRNA from 1 species